rnacentral:rRNA from 1 species
GAUGAACGCUAGCGGCAGGCCUAACACAUGCAAGUCGAGGGGGAGGUUACUUUCGGGUAACUGAGACCGGCGUACGGGUGCGUAACGCGUAUACAAUCUGCCUUUCACCGGGGGAUAGCCCGAAGAAAUUUGGAUUAAUACCCCAUAGUAUAGUAAUACGGCAUCGUGAUGCUAUUAAAGCUUAGGUGGUGAAAGAUGAGUAUGCGUUCUAUUAGCUAGUUGGAGAGGUAACGGCUCCCCAAGGCGAUGAUAGAUAGGGGUUCUGAGAGGGAUGUCCCCCACACUGGUACUGAGAUACGGACCAGACUCCUACGGGAGGCAGCAGUGAGGAAUAUUGGACAAUGGUCGGAAGACUGAUCCAGCCAUGCCGCGUGCAGGAUGAAGGUCUUAUGGAUUGUAAACUGCUUUUGUAAGGGAAGAAUAAGGGCUACGCGUAGUUUGAUGACGGUACCUUACGAAUAAGCAUCGGCUAACUCCGUG